CCCCGCUAACGCCUCUCACCGCUGCCGCUCGCCAGCGCCCGCGUUCUCCGGCGACGCUCACAACCGCCACGAUGGUGCCAUCCCUAGACGGAGCCUCGGCGGCCGCGGCGAUGGCAAAGGGGUGGGGCACGUGUAGCGACUGGCCCUCCUCCGCCUCGGCGUGGUUCUGGUGCAUGGAGGCCGUGGUGUAGAACAUCGCGGUGGCCGUGUUCGCCGCGGAGCGUUGGUGGCGGCGCAGCGCCGCUCCUCCCAUGGGCGGGUAGUCGUGGGAGUGGGACGUGUUGGUGGGGACGAGCAGGGGGAGGAGGAGGAGGAGAGAGAGGCGGAAAAGGAGCGCCAUGGAGGGUGGCUUACUCGAGAGAGCCCCGGCCGCCGACGCUCGCCCCUGACGCCGUUGCCGCUGCUCGCUCGCCGACGCCUCUCACCGCCGU
rnacentral:lncRNA from 1 species